AUGGUAUUAAAAAAUGAUCACAGUCACUUAAAAGUUUUCUCGUUUUCGGUUAGUACAGAUGUCGUGACACUGACCGAAGUCGUUGCAACUAAGAUUUUAGAAAAAAGAUGUGAUCGCAUAGAGGUUUUCACGAUUACAGGUGUCACGACAUUGAUUGUCAUCAUCACGGUGUGA